AACUCUUAGCGGUGGAUCACUCGGCUUGUGCGUCGAUGAAGAACGCAGCUAGCUGCGAGAACUAAUGUGAUUUGCAGGACACAUCACUAAAUUUACACUAAAUUUACACAAAUAUCCAUUAAAACACA
rnacentral:rRNA from 1 species